CCCUUGAUAGCUCAGUUGGAAGAGCGACAGACUGUAAUAGGCAACUGUGGGUGCGUAGUCGCAUCUGUAGGUCACCGGUUCGAACCCGGUUCGAGGGA